GAGGAAUGUAUAGCAAUAGCUAUUGCAUCAUAGUAGAUAUGGUGCAAGAUCGACUAUGUUGAAUAAAAUUCUAGGUAGAUGAUAAUGACAUUGUCUGCCUAUGUGUCUUGACCAAAUUACGUGCCAGCAGUCGCGGUAAUACGUAGAAGACUAGUGUUAUUCAUGUUUAAUCGGUUUAAAGGGUACCUAGACGGUAGAUCAAGCUUUCUAAUAAAGGAAAAGGACUAAUUUACUAGAGUUACUUAUGAGGGGGUAUUAAAGUACUGCUGGUGUAGAGAUGAAAUUCUGUCAUACCUCUUUUCAAAAGAAAAACCAUGGCACAGGUAUAGGCGAAGGCAUCCCCUUAUGUGAUAACUG
rnacentral:rRNA from 1 species